rfam:Homo sapiens chromosome 10, GRCh38 reference primary assembly.
GCCAGGCAUGGUGGUGCACGCCUGUAAUCCCAGCUACUUGGGAGGCUGAGGCAGGAGAAUCACUUGAACCCAGGAGGUGGAGGUUGCAGUGAGCCGAGAUCAUGCCAUGCACUCCAGCCUGGGUAACAGAGUGAGACCCUGUCUGUC